AUUGAACGCUGGCGGCGUGCUUAACACAUGCAAGUCGAUCGGUAACGCGGGGGCAACCCUGGCGACGAGAGGCGGACGGGUGAGGAACGCUUGGGAAUCUGCCUAUCAGCGGGGGACAACCCGGGGAAACUCGGGCUAAUACCGCAUACGCUCUACGGAGGAAAGCCGGGGACCGCAAGGCCUGGCACUGAUAGAUGAGCCCAAGUCGGAUUAGCUAGUUGGCGGGGUAACGGCCCACCAAGGCGACGAUCCGUAGCUGGUCUGAGAGGACGAUCAGCCACACUGGGACUGAGACACGGCCCAGACUCCUGCUGGAGGCAGCAGUGGGGAAUAUUGGACAAUGGGGGAAACCCUGAUCCAGCGACGCCGCGUGGGUGAAGAAGGCCUGCGGGUUGUAAAGCCCUUUCGGUAGGGACGAAAACUCUCGACUUAACACGUCGGGAGCUUGACUUAACCUACAAAAGAAGCACCGGCUAACUCUGUGCCAGCCGCCGCCGUAAAAC
rnacentral:rRNA from 1 species